AAAUCCCAAAACUCCAUUGAUGGUGUCUAAGAAACAGAAGUUAACACAUGAGGUGGCUUCUUCUCCAAACGAUGAUGUCAACGAACAAAUUACAGGCCACCGCGUUUUUACAAUUCCAGUUCAGACCUACGGCCAAUGAAGAUUCACUACACCGGCCAUGCUGAAACCCGAUCAAGGUCAGUUGGAAGGCAUCGUAUUUGGCUGUUCGAUUCCACUUUAUUGGAUUAUAAUUCCUAGAUAAACUUGGAAUAAGGUUUAUCUCUAAGUUUCCUAUUCUGUGUUAGGUUUUAUGAUUUCCUAUUGUACGUUAACUUACUUGGGUAUAUAAACCAAGCUCGUGAUUCAAUAAAAGAUAACUUGUUAUUUGAUCCUUAACUAGAAUUUGUCAUGGUAUCAGAGCAAGAACAAAAAUAAACAUCUAAAAUACUUCCUAUUCAUCGGCUUGAUUUGCCAUAUUGCAGAUCAAAUCUUCAUCUUUAAAAACGACUUCUUGUUCACAUAUUGAAGAAGAAGAUUAUUCAUUCUAAUCAACAAUGGCGUUAGCUCAGCAAAGCGAAGUCAAAUACAAAACCAUCUCACCAUAUGACCUAUCAUCUAAUGAUAAUCCAUGAGCUGUUAUCUCACAACCACUCCUGAAUGGUUUGAAUUAUGAUGAAUGGACUAUCAACUUUCGUAUGGUCUUAAGCUCACGAAAGAAAUUCGGAUUUCUUGACGGCAGCAUUCUCAAACCUGCAGCCGAUUCAUCUCGACUUGAGGAUUGGACAGCAAACAAUCACCUCAUUAUAGGAUGGAUAAAACAAACCAUCGAACCAAAGAUCAGAUCAUCUAUCUCAACCAGGGAAAACGCAAAAGAACUGUGGGAUACAAUUCGGAAACGUUAUUCUCUUAAAAGCGGGGCACGCCUUCAGCAACUACGCAACGCAUUAUCCAACUGCAAGCAGAAUGGUUCUACUAUCGACGAAUAUUUUGGUCGCUUGACAAAAAUUUGGGACGGUAUCGCCGAGUGUAUGAAUUCAAAAAAAUGUAACUGUGGAAAGUGCGAGUGUGAUUUAAACACUGCAAGAAAGCAAGAGGCGGAAACCCUGCGUGUCCAUGACUUUCUGUCUGGACUAGAUGAUACUUCUCAUGGAACUAUACGUUCUCAAAUUUGUGCUAUAUCUCCUCUUCCCGAUCUGGAUAGCGUCUAUCAAACUGUAUCUCAAAACGAGAUACUUCGUUCAACAAUCACACAAGAUACGGCUGUUAUGAGUUUCACAGCCCAAAAUCGCAAUUCAACAAACGUCUCAAAGCAAAACAAUACUCGACCAGGGAAUAAAGAUCCUUCAAGACAAUGUACCGUAUGCGGACGUAAUGGUCAUGAAGCCUCUGGUUGUUUUACAGUAAUCGGUUACCCGGAGUGGUGGGAUGAACGACCAAGGAACAGAGUUCAACAAUGUCCUGCCCCAGCUAAAACCAACGAUCAAGGGAGGACUACAGCACCUAGAGCUAAUACGGCAACUGUAGCAACCCCAAAGAUUCAAGCCAACAUCACCGUCACCGACGCAGACCGGCUAGGACUAAGUGGAAUUACCGAUGAUCAAUGGAACAUUGUUCAGAGGUUGAUCAACAAAGGAACAACAAACGAUGAUCAUCUAAAAGGUAAUCAAGACAUGAAGGUUUGGAUCUUAGAUACUGGCGCCACCCAUCAUAUGACAGGGUGCCUAGAGAUAAUGGAGAAUUUCCGAGAUAUCACCAACAUACCAGUCUUGUUACCUGCUGGUUCCAAUGCAAUGGCUUCCAAGCAAGGAACUGUUAAACUAACGUCUACUUUACACAUUCAGAAUGUGUAUUACGUGGAAGGAUUCCAUACGAAUCUUAUCUCCUUUGGCCAACUCGUUACAGAUAAUUUCUUAGUUGGACAAGUAACUGAUAAACUUAUGAUUUUACAGGACCGUACCUCGAGGAUGCUGAUUGGAGCGGGUGAAAGAGAGGGAGAGGGAUUGUACCGUUUUCGAGAGAUUGAUUCAGUGACAUCGCUGCAGACUACUGUUUCCGAAGAUCCAGUUUUGUGGCAUCGACGUCUUGGGCAUCCAUCUUCUCGUAUUACAGCUAUGAUUCCGUCUUUAGAUGAGUCAUCAUCCAAAAACGAUGACUAUAUUAUUAAGUCUUGUGACAUUUGUUUUCGAGCUAAACAGACUCGCCAAAGUUUUCUAGAUAGUUUUCAUAAUGCAAAAGAGAUUUUUGAUCUUAUUCAUUGUGAUCUUUGGGAGCCAUAUCGAACUACAGCUCAUUGUGGUUCUCGUUACUUUCUUACUAUCAUUGACGAUCAUUCUCGAGCAUUGUGGCUAUAUCUUCUACCAAACAAAACAGUGGUGGCACAACAAAUUAAAGAGUUUGUCGCUCUAAUUGAAAGACAGUUUUCAAAGAAAGUCAAGACACUACGAAGUGAUAACGGGGCGGAGUUCAUGUGUCUUACCGACUACUUCAAAGAACAUGGGAUCAUUCAUGAAACUUCGUGCGUCCAUACUCCUCAACAAAACGGACGCGCUGAACGAAAACAUCGACAUGUUCUCAAUGUAGCACGAGCUCUCCGGUUCCAAGCAAAUUUACCAAUAGAAUUUUGGGGGGAAUGCGUUCUAGCCUCUGCUCAUCUGAUCAAUCGCACGCCAUCAUCUCUACUCAAAAACAAAACACCGUUUGAAAUUCUUCAUGGCCAGCCACCAACCAUGUCUCAUCUUUGUGUGAUCGGAUGUUUGGCAUAUGCUCAUAACAAAAACACAAAAGGAGAUAAAUUUGCAUCAAGUAGCCGGAAGUGCAUUCUUCUGGGGUAUCCAUCUGGCACUAAAGGCUGGAAAUUAUUUGAUCUAGAACAGGAGGUGGUGUUUAUCUCCAGAGACGUCUCGUUCCAGGAAAACAUAUUUCCAUAUAUGGAUACUACUCCACCGACACCUAUGGACGUGGUACCUCUUAUCGUCAUGCCUCCAACAGAUGUAACAGAGGAUCAUAACAAUUCCGAAGAACAAUCAACUACUGAGAACAUCCCGGGAUCUCCGAUAAAUUCACCAGCAGUUGGUUCUCUUCCAGAAACAGAACACGGUGACACAGAGUCUGUAGUUUCAGAAACAGAACAAGUUGCCUCAGAACAAGUGAACGCAGAAACUGCGACAUAACCUUUAGGUCGAGGUCACAGACCACGGGUUCCUUCAACACGAUAUCGAGACUACGUCAUUAAUACGGUUACUACAAUCCCUACUCUCACUUCCUCUCACCCGUCGUCCACACCUCAGCUAUCCUCAGGUUCCUUGUUUCCGUUAUCUGAUUACUUAUCGUACGACCGUAUCACGUCUAAACAUUGCAGCUAUCUCACUGCGUUGGCAACAAACAUCGAACCAAAACACUUCCGAGAGGCAAUGAAACAUAAAGUCUGGCGAGAAUCAAUGAAGCUUGAGAUUGAUGCAAUUGAACGCCAACAUACAUGGGAUCUUGUCGAGUUGCCACCUAAUAAGAAGGCUCUUGGAACUAGAUGGAUAUACACAAUUAAACUUCUCUCUGAUGGAACAAUAGGGCGACACAAGUCACGUUUGGUUGUAUUGGGUAAUAACCAAAAAGAAGGACUGGAUUACACCGAGACUUUCUCUCCAGUUGCUAAAAUGGUAACUGUUCGUGUUUUCCUUGAUAUUGCGGCAAAGAAAAACCAUGAGAUUCACCAGAUGGAUGUACACAACGCUUUUCUUCACGGAGAGCUUCAAGACGAAGUCUACAUCAAGGUACCUCUAGGUUUUUCUAAUCCUAAUGAUACAAGGGUGUGUCGGCUACGGAAGUCUCUCUAUGGCAUAAAACAAGCACCACGGUGCUGGUUUGCCAAGCUAGUGGAUGCUCUUGUUGCGUAUGGUUUCUCUCAAACACAUUCCGACUACUCUCUGUUCGUAUAUACAAAAACCAAUGUCACUCUUCGGAUUCUAGUUUACGUGGAUGAUCAUAUCAUCUCAGGCGAUUCAACAUCAGCGAUCACAUCAUUCAAAUCAUAUCUUUCAACGUGCUUUCAUAUGAAAGACCUUGGACCUUUAAAGUACUUCCUCGGUUUAGAGGUAGCUCGGAAUCCUGCUGGUAUUUAUCUGUGCCAGCGCAAAUACAUCUUGGAGAUCAUCACAGAGUGUGGUUUGCUUGGUUGUAAGCCUGCUGGGUCUCCUAUGGAUCAAAAUCAUCAGCUAGGACGUGCUACUGGAGAUUUUCUUCCUGAUCCAGAACGUUUUCGACGUCUUACUGGACGACUCAUAUAUCUUCUAGCCACACGACCAGAUCUUGCAUAUUCGGUUCAUAUCUUGACACAAUUCAUGCAACAGCCGCGCCAGGAACAUUGGCUUGCUGCUUUAAAAACAGUACGAUACUUGAAAGGAACAGUAGGACAGGGUGUGUUAUUCCGAGCCGAACCUUCAUUCUCCAUUACCGGCUGGUGUGAUGCGGACUGGGGUGCGUGCCCAACGACUCGUCGUUCGCUUUCUGGCUGGAUUAUUCAGUUUGGAACGUCUCCUAUAACAUGGAAAACUAAGAAGCAAGAUGCAGUUUCACUCUCGUCUACUGAAGCCGAGUUUCGUGCUAUGAAAGCAAUUACUCAAGAGCUCAUCUGGAUUAAAGACCUUCUAUGCGAACUUGGUAUUGCUCAUCCGGCUCCAAUGUUGGUCUGCUGUGAUAAUAAAUCUGCCUUACACAUAGGCGCAAACCCGGUGCUACAUGAGAAGACAAAACAUAUGGGCAUCAUUUGCAAAUUUGUUCAACAGGAGAUCACUAAGGGAGUUAUCAAAACGACUUAUGUUUCAACACAUGAUCAGCUCGCAGACAUUUUCACUAAAGCUUUGGGACGAAGAGAAUUUGAUGCAUUUCUUCUCAAGUUAGGCAUCAAUAAUAUUCAUGCUCCAACUUGAGGAGGGGGUAUUGGAGUAUAAUUCCUAGAUAAACUUGGAAUAAGGUUUAUCUCUAAGUUUCCUAUUCUGUGUUAGGUUUUAUGAUUUCCUAUUGUACGUUAACUUACUUGGGUAUAUAAACCAAGCUCAUGAUUCAAUAAAAGAUAACUUGUUAUUUGAUCCUUAACUAGAAUUUGUCACACUUCUUCUACUCUUGAUUAAAUUUCGGAACUGUUAUGGAAGUCGGUGGGAUUCAUGCAUCCUCAUUGACUAUCACAUUAACACCAAUUUCCCACUACUCACAAGAUCUAUCAUUCAAUGAAUCCCCUCAUUGAAUCCUUCGCUUGAAUCCUCCACUAUAAAAUAUGUAAGUUUCCUAGCCAAAAAAACAAUACUUCAUUCCUCUCAGUCAGUUCCUUUCAUACUCUUUCAGCGAUUUGUAGGCCGGCCUUUGUAGC
rnacentral:lncRNA from 1 species